rnacentral:misc_RNA from 1 species
GGUACACUGGUUGAUUCUUAUAUAUCUGGAAAGAUUAUGCAGUUGAAAGAGCAAAUAGCAACAUUAGAAAAGCGUGAGGAGAGGUACAAGACAGUUUUUGCUGAUAGGAUCUCUGUUUUCAGAAGGGCAUGCUGUGAACUUUUUGGGUAUAAGAUUGUGAUGGAUGAUCACCAGCGUCCCGAUGGAAUAGCAGUUACACGGUUUAUACUUC